rnacentral:rRNA from 1 species
UACGUAGGGAGCGAGCGUUGCCCGGAUUUAUUGGGCGUAAAGAGCGCGUAGGCGGCUCGGUAAGCCGGAUGUGAAACCUCCAAGCUCAACUUGGAGCGGCCAUUCGGAACUGCUGUGGCUAGAGUCUGGUAGGGGAACACGGAAUUCCUGGUGUAGCGGUGAAAUGCUUAGAUAUCAGGAGGAACACCAGUGGCGAAGGCGGUGUUCUGGGCCAGUACUGACGCUGAGGCGCGAAAGCGUGGGGAGCGAACAGG